UCAUGCCCCAGAUAGUAGUGGAAAGCUUCGAGAUUGAGUAAUCAUUUUUUUCUUGAAACGGCAGAGCGACCAGCGGAAGCUCCUGCUGUAUCAUUAGAAAAAACGAUUACUAAACGAGAACUUGCAACGAAUAGCUGGAAUAGGC
rnacentral:sRNA from 2 species